CUUCUCGUAACCAAAAAAAACAGCUCCGAUUGCUUGAACUUGAUUUUGAUUUUGGAAAUAAAAAAGAAAAGUCUCGUAAUAAAAAUCGAAAUAAGAAAUUUUUAGCUACUACUGCAAGUGCUAACGACCUUCCACAAAAUACUAGACUUGGAGAAGAGAAAGCCCCGAGCUCCUUUGAGUCUGUAUUGGAUCCCGUGGCAUUCCCGAGUCUUCCGGGCGCGACCGCAAAGCCAUUUCUUUAUCGACCAGUCAAACAUGUGAAAAAGAAAACGCUUGACGAAGAGUUUCCUCCUCUUCCUUCUUCAAGCUUACAAGCAUCUUUUAACCCACCCGCUUCUCUUAAAACGACUUCUUUCGUUAAGGAGAAAAGUGUUAUAAGUAAAAAUAAACAAAAGCAGCAGCAAGAUCUAAUAAAAGUUAACUUGCAUAUUAAUAAUAACAGUAAUAGUAAUAAUUAUAUUAAUAGUAAUAGCAAUAAUACUAAUAGUAGUAAUAGUAAUAAUAAUACUAUUAAUAGUUUUAAUAAUAACGAUAAGCACGCGAAACGGCCCACUUCCUCUGAAUCACCUGGUUUAACCCUUAGGCCAGCCCUCGCGUCCGCCUUUUCUAACCCUCGAGAGCUUACUUCCUUUCUCCAACUUUUUGAUUGGUACAGGGAAGGGCGUCUGUCCCUCAGCGACUUUUUCACAAUGUUUGAAACUCGUAUAGGAAACUCCGCUCGUGUCCGACCCGUUAUAGCCCAUUUGGCCGAUUUAAUUCCAGAUGCUUCGCGGCGGCGAGACUUUUUGCUUCUUUAUAACGAUGAUUAGCAC